rnacentral:ncRNA from 1 species
GCUUUUUUCGUAGCGGAACUCGACCGCCCCCAUGACGAGAUGAUCCGGUUCAUCGACGAACACCGUGACCGUUUCGGGGUCGAGGCCAUCUGCCGCGUGC